UAUUUUUUCAUUUUCUUUAUUCGACUCUCUCUCCCACUCGAGUCUUAUCCUCUUCCUUUUCUUUUUUCUUCCGUUUCUUCGCUAUACCUAGCUCUCUUGAAAUCACGAUCUGCCAAAAUAAUUAAAAGUUGUCUCUGUUUUAAACGAUCUCAUAAAUCAAAACCCGUCAGAAAUCAAUCCCAAUUUUCACUAAUUCAAUUUUCGUUUUUAACCCUAGAUAUGUGAAUUUCUCUUCAUAAACGCUAGCAAACUAGUCUCUGAAUUCUCUGCAACUGAAUUUCUUUAAGGAAAUGAGCUUUCCAUUAAAACCCUUACUUCGAUGUUAUUGAUCUUGUAUGUCAAGUUUCGACCUUAAUUUAAUUUGAUCUGUAAUUUUAUUUACAUCAGGAAAAUGAUGCAGAAGAACGUGAUUAACGGAGUUGUUGAAGAUGAUUGAUGGAGUUGUCACUCUGCUGAUGUUUUCUUAUGGAGGAACAAGAAGAUUUCAGCUAGUGUUCUUGGUUGAGCUACUCUUGCAUGGGUUCUAUUUGAAUUGUUGGAAUACCACUUGCUCACUAUGGUCUGCCAUUGUGCUAUAUUGACUUUAGCAGUUCUGUUCUUGUGGUCAAAUCCGUCUACCUUCAUCCAAAAUUCAUCUUCUUGAGGACUCAUUAAUCUUGCAGAUUGCUGUUGGUCUGAGGAUUGAGAUCAACAGGGCUCUUGCUUGCUUGUGCGAGAUUGCUUCAGAACAUGAUUUGAAGAAGUUUCUUGUGGCAAUGCAUGCUGGUCUGAUGUACAUUGUAGUACUACACCAGCACUACUGAAAUCUCAGUCUAUCAGUACUUAUCAGGAAUACACUAGUUGUCUCAACAUUAGCCGUCUCCACUUCAAGUGAUUCAGUGAAGUUGAUUCCAGAAUUUGAAGUGACAGAUGCUUUUCUUUUCUAUUAAAUGAACAAUUACCGGGAGUUUAAAAUAACAUGACAUGAGUUGAGUAGAAUUUUAUUCAUUAGAUGAUCUUUGAUGCUGGAAUUUUACUGAAAUGGUUUUCUUUAUUGCAUGUUACCUUAUCUAUGUGUAAUUAGAUUGCAAAGAUAGUUGGAGUAGCACUUUCAGCAUUCUUCGGCGUUAAUGGACGUGGUCUUAUGCUUACUGCACAGGAACUGAAGAUGCGAAGCAGUACAUGUUUGUUGGCGAAGUAACUCUUGACAAUAUUAAGGAAUUUGGGAAGGAUUUCCUUGAAGGCUUAGUUCCGCAGUUCUACAAAUCUGAUCCGGUAAUUGACUUAGCACAUUCAACAAACACAAGCUUUGAUACUAUACUAGAAUCUCUUCUUUAAAGUGCCAAGCCGUCUCCAAACUCUAGUGGCCUUCUAGAUGGCCUCUUUUUCAGUAGCUCAGUGUGUUGACCUCUGCCUUACUGCUGGUGACCAGAAGAAUUAUUAAGUUCAUAAUAUCAUGUCAUCUUCUUUUUUUCCUGUGGAUGAAUUAGUUCUUCUACUUUAUCUAGGGUUGUUUGCAGGGGUAAACCUUGUUCUAUUUGUAAGAAUGUUCUAAAAGGGUUUUGUAAU